rnacentral:rRNA from 1 species
GAUGAACGCUGGCGGCGUGCCUAAUACAUGCAAGUCGAGCGAACAGACCAGGAGCUUGCUCCUCUGACGUUAUCGGCGGACGGGUGAGUAACACGUGGAUAACCUACCUAUAAGACUGGGAUAACUUCGGGAAACCGUAGCUACUACCGGAUAAUAUAUUGCACUGCAUGGUUCAAUCGUGAAAGUCGGUUUUUCUUUCACUUAUAGAUUGACCCGCACCUCAUUAGCUAGUUGGGAAGGUAACGGCUUACCAAGGCUACGAUUCGUAGCCGACCUGAAAGCGAGAUCGGACACACUGGAAGAGAGAAACGGCAGAGACACCGAGAGGAGGAAGCAGUAGGGAAUCUUCCGCGAUGGGGGAAAGGGUGACGGAGGAAAGCCGCGGGAGUGAUGAAGGAGUUAUGAUGGGAAAACGAUGAUGGUAGGGAAGAACAAAUGUGUAAGUAACUAUGAACGUAAUGACGGUACCGGAUCAGAAAGCCACGGCUAACUACGUG